GACGAACGCUGGCGGCGUGCUUAACACAUGCAAGUCGAACGGAAAGGCCCUGCUUUUGUGGGGUGCUCGAUUGGCGAACGGGUGAGUAACACGUGAGUAACCUGCCCUUGACUUUGUGAUAACUUCUGGAAACUGGUUCUAAUACCGGAUAGGAUCUCCUGCUGCAUGUUGGUGUUUGGAAAGUUUCGGCGGUUGGGGAUGGACUCGCGGCUUAUCAGCUUGUUGGUGGGGUAGUGUCUUACCAAGGCUUUGACGGGUAGCCGGACUGAGAGGGUGACCGGAAAAAAUGGGAGUGAGAUACGGCACAGACGCGUACGGGAGGCAGCAGUGGGGAAUAUUGCAAAAUGGGCGGAAGCCUGAUGAAGAAACGGAGCGAGCGGGAUGAAGGCAUUGGGGUUGUAAACCGAUUUAGAAUGUGAAGAAGAGUGAGUGACGGUAAUGGGUAAAGAAGCACCGGCUAACUACGUG
rnacentral:rRNA from 1 species